GUAAUUAUUAAUUUAAUUUUGAAUUUUUAGUUUGGUGAUUCAGGAUUACAAUUAAUAUCUGAACAUUUGCACCAACUUCAAGUUCUGAAUUUAUGUGAAACACCUGUUACAGAUAAAGGAUUAAUUUCAUUAUCAGCAAUGAAAGGUUUAAGAAAACUCAAUCUGAAUAGCACAGGUUUAUCAGCACACACAUUUGAAGGAUUGAAGCAAAAUCUGCCGUUGUUAGAGGAAUACGAUAUAUGUUACACAGAUGCCUGGUGAUGAAAUAAGAAAAUAUUCUGUUUUUAAUUAAGACUGCAAGUAUAUUCAUUAGCUGCUACAGUUUAAUUGACUGACAACAUUCCUUUUUUGUGUCAUCUCAUCUCAUUGACAAAAGUUUAACAUUUCUAUAAAUAUUUAUCAUAUUCAUCUUCAUUGACUUGCUGGACAAGUGACUGAAAAAAAAA